GACGAACGCUGGCGGCGUGCUUAACACAUGCAAGUGGAGCGACGAACCAGGGCUUGCCCUGGGGCAGAGCCGCGAACGGGUGAGUAACACGUGGGUAACGUGCCCCGAUGAUCGGGACAACCCGGGGAAACCCGGGCUAAUACCGAAUGUGCUCCCCUCACACCAGUGAGGGAUGGAAAGGAAGCUUCGGCCUCCGCAUCGGGAUCGGCCCGCGGCCCAUUAGCUUGUUGGUGAGGUAACGGCUCACCAAGGCUGCGAUGGGUAGCUGGUCUGAGAGGACGAUCAGCCACACUGGGACUGAGACACGGCCCAGACUCCUACGGGAGGCAGCAGUGGGGAAUCUUGCGCAAUGCGCGAAAGCGUGACGCAGC
rnacentral:rRNA from 1 species